rnacentral:rRNA from 1 species
GACGAACGCUGGCGGCGUGCUUAACACAUGCAAGUCGAGCGGUAAGGCCCUGUUUUUGGGGUACACGAGCGGCGAACGGGUGAGUAACACGUGGGUGACCUGCCUCACACUCUGGGAUAAGCUUGGGAAACUGGGUCUAAUACCGGAUAGGACCUGUCAUCGCAUGGUGGUGGGUGGAAAGCUUUUGUGGUGUGGGAUGGGCCUGCGGUCUAUCAGCUUGUUGGUGGGGUGAUGGCCUACCAAGGCGACGACGGGUAGCCGGCCUGAGAGGGCGACC